AUCCUAUGGGAGGCAGCAGUGGGGAAUAUUGGGCAAUGGGCGCAAGCCUGACCCAGCAACGCCGCGUGAAGGAAGAAGGCUCUCGGGUUGUAAACUUCUUUUAUCAGGAACGAAGCAAGUGACGGUACCUGAUGAAUAAGCCACGGCUAACUACGUGCCAGCAGCCGCGGUAAUACGUAGGUGGCAAGCGUUAUCCGGAUUUAUUGGGUGUAAAGGGCGUGUAGGCGGGAAAGCAAGUCAGAUGUGAAAACCAUGGGCUCAACCUGUGGCCUGCAUUUGAAACUGUUUUUCUUGAGUACUGGAGG
rnacentral:rRNA from 1 species